rnacentral:rRNA from 1 species
AAGGACGAACGCUGGCGGCACGCUUAACACAUGCAAGUCGAACGAGAGAAGAGAAGCUUGCUUUUCUGAUCUAGUGGCGGACGGGUGAGUAACACGUGAGCAAUCUGCCUUUCAGAGGGGGAUACCGAUUGGAAACGAUCGUUAAUACCGCAUAACAUAAUUGAACCGCAUGAUUUGAUUAUCAAAGAUUUAUCGCUGAAAGAUGAGCUCGCGUCUGAUUAGCUAGUUGGUAAGGUAACGGCUAACCAAGGCGACGAUCAGUAGCCGGACUGAGAGGUUGAUCGGCCACAUUGGGACUGAGACACGGCCCAGACUCCUACGGGAGGCAGCAGUGGGGAAUAUUGCACAAUGGAGGAAACUCUGAUGCAGCGAUGCCGCGUGAGGGAAGAAGGUUUUAGGAUUGUAAACCUCUGUCUUCAGGGACGAAAAAAGACGGUACCUGAGGAGGAAGCUCCGGCUAACUACGUG